rnacentral:rRNA from 1 species
UACAGAGGUCCCAAGCGUUGUUCGGAUUCAUUGGGCGUAAAGGGUGCGUAGGCGGCGCGGUAAGUCGGGUGUGAAAUCUCGGAGCUUAACUCCGAAACUGCAUUCGAUACUGCCGUGCUUGAGGACUGGAGAGGAGACUGGAAUUUACGGUGUAGCGGUGAAAUGCGUAGAUAUCGUAAGGAAGACCAGUGGCGAAGGCGGGGCUCUCGUGACAGUUCCUGACGCUGAGGCACGAAGGCCAGGGGAGCAAACGGG